rnacentral:rRNA from 1 species
GAUGAACGCUGACAGAAUGCUUAACACAUGCAAGUCUUUGGUGAAGCUGUGCUUGCACAGCCUAGCCAAGGCGGACGGGUGAGUAACGCGUAAGGAACUUGCCCUGCAGUCAGGGAUAACAGACGGAAACGACUGAUAAGACCUGGUAAAGUCAGGCGGACUCAUGUCCAGCCUGAUGAAAAGAGAUGCUGCAGGAGAGCCUUGCGUCCUAUUAGCUUGUUGGUGGGGUAACGGCCCACCAAGGCAAUGAUAGGUAGCCGGCCUGAGAGGGUGGACGGCCACAAGGGGACUGAGAUACGGCCCUUACUCCUACGGGAGGCAGCAGUGGGGAAUAUUGGACAAUGGGGGCAACCCUGAUCCAGCAAUUCUGUGUGCACGAUGAAGGUCUUCGGAUUGUAAAGUGCUUUCAGCAGGGAAGAAAAAAUGACGGUACCUGCAGAAGAAGCGACGGCUAAAUACGUG